rnacentral:lncRNA from 10 species
UGUCCUGCCGCAGAGCAUUUGAAUUGUUCUUCCCUGCCUUGAAUGCUCUCCCCAUGCCCCCUAGGUCUAGUCAGCCCAUUCGAGAUUGUCAUUCAUUCAACAGCUGUCAACUGGGCACCCACUGCGUGUUUGAUCAUGUGUUUAGUGGGAUCCUUAUGGGAUGAAUGUCUUCCUCCAACACACACACACGUGUGCGCGCGCGCACACACACACACACACACUGCCGCCAAGUCCCAUGUGUUUUUCCAGGGUUAAGCUGACCUUAGUCCUCUACCACCCACCAACCAGCCCCAAAUGCAACCGUCAUAGGAAAAAUGCAAGAGCAGAAGACAUAAGAAGAAGGGACAGGGAAAGGAGAAAAAAGAAAGAAAAGAUAAAUAUUUUUAAAAAUAAAGGAAAAAAGAAAAAGGAAUGGAAUGAGAGAAAG